rnacentral:rRNA from 1 species
UACGGAGGGUGCAAGCGUUAUCCGGAUUCACUGGGUUUAAAGGGUGCGUAGGUGGGCAGGUAAGUCAGUGGUGAAAUCUCCGGGCUUAACCCGGAAACUGCCAUUGAUACUAUUUGUCUUGAAUAUCGUGGAGGUCAGCGGAAUAUGUCAUGUAGCGGUGAAAUGCUUAGAUAUGACAUAGAACACCAAUUGCGAAGGCAGCUGGCUACACGAAUAUUGACACUGAUGCACGAAAGCGUGGGGAUCAAACAGG